AUGUUACCAUCGAUCCUAAGACGCACAGCUUGGGACCCCUACCCGAGAUCCGCCGGUUUUGACACCGACACCCACCAACAGGUGGCUUCCGAGCUAUGGAAAGCUAGGUUGCCCCUCAAGAUUAAAGUCUUUUUGUGGCAGCUGUGCCGUGACAAACUUCCCACGUCCGUCAACAUAGCCAAACGCAAUGGUCCGUCCAGCGGGGCUUGUGCGGUCUGCGGGGAGCCAAAGACCGCUAACCAUGUUUUUUUCCAUUGCCACCUAGCCCGGUUCACGUGGAGUGCGGUCCGCGAGGCCGCAGGCCGGGACUGGGAUCCCAGGUCCAGUUCUGAGUUGUGCGCUCUCCUGUCAUCAGUUAGUGGCACCGCUCGACGUGUCAUGUGGUUUUGUAUGGGGGCGUUUACUCUGGGCAGUUUGGAAUAUUAG
rnacentral:rRNA from 1 species